rnacentral:rRNA from 1 species
GACGAACGCUGGCGGCGUGCUUAACACAUGCAAGUCGAACGGUGAAAGCGGAGCUUGCUCCGCUGGAUCAGUGGCGAACGGGUGAGUAACACGUGGGCAACCUGCCCCUCACUUCGGGAUAACUCCGGGAAACCGGGGCUAAUACCGGAUAUGACCUCCUUGGGCAGCCUUGGAGGUGGAAAGUUUUUCGGUGAGGGAUGGGCCCGCGGCCUAUCAGCUGGUUGGUGAGGUAGUGGCUCACCAAGGCGGCGACGGGUAGCCGGCCUGAGAGGGCGACCGGCCACACUGGGACUGAGACACGGCCCAGACUCCUACGGGAGGCAGCAGUGGGGAAUAUUGCGCAAUGGGCGAAAGCCUGACGCAGCAACGCCGCGUGCGGGAUGACGGCCUUCGGGUUGUAAACCGCUUUCAGCAGGGAAGAAGCCGCAAGGUGACGGUACCUGCAGAAGAAGCACCGGCUAACUACGUGCCAGCAGCCGCCGUAA